GGGGCUGCAUUGGUUUCGACAUGGGUUCGGAAGCGUUGCGGAGCAUGUCGAGCUUGGGUCACGCUCGUUAAUCUCGAUUCAAAAAAGUAACUGCAAACGACGAACGUUUCGCACUCGCUGCUUAAUCCAGCGGGCCUUGCAACAGUCGGUCAAUGGGCUGGGCAAGGGUUGGUUGGCGCAAGCUGACCGAUCCCGGCUGCAAGGUUAAUUCACAUUGACUGGCCAUGCGUCGUGUUCCUUGACGUGUGGCGAGAUUCAAGGGGACUGGCCUGUUGUGCAGCGUGCCACUGCGCGGCAUGACGGGUGAGAUCAAAUCAGCUGGCUACGCAUGUAGAACCGGACGAAGAAGGCUUGUGGACGCGGGUUCAAAUCCCGCCAGCUCCACCA
rnacentral:tmRNA from 1 species